rnacentral:tRNA from 1 species
GCGGGUAUAGCUCAGUGGUAGAGCAUCUCGUUGCCAACGAGAAUGUCGCGUGUUCGAAUCACGUUACCCGCU